AUAGAAGCUGGAAUGCCUUCUCCAGAAUGGACCAAGAGGAAAAAGCAGACUUUGAAAAUUGGGCAUGGAGGGACUCUAGACAGCGCAGCCCGAGGAGUUCUGGUUGUUGGAAUUGGAAGCGGAACAAAAAUGUUGACCAGUAUGUUGUCAGGGUCCAAGAGAUAUACUGCCAUUGGAGAACUGGGGAAAGCUACUGAUACACUAGAUUCUACGGGGAAGGUAACAGAAGAAAAACCUUACGGUAUGAAGC
rnacentral:lncRNA from 1 species